rnacentral:lncRNA from 1 species
GAUCAUUGGCCUGAACCUGCUGAGUAUACAGACAUGAUCGGACUUCUCAAAGUUUGUACCUUUUAAAAAAAAAACCUUUUUGUUGUUCUGUUUUUUAAUCAGACAUGUUUAAAUUAACUUUUAAAUGUUACAGGGAAGGUACUAUGACAUGAUUCUAUCCACAAAGCUCGCAGGGUUAGGCCACGCAGCGUUCUUGUUCAUGACAACGGCUAGAGACAGAGUUAGCUACAUUUACCCAAAUGUCAACUCAGCUGGAGCUGGUCUGAUGCUAUCUGAAACCUUUACAGCUGAAAACACCAACCUUUCUGAAUUAGGUUAUAAAAUGUGAGUUAGUUAGCUUCUUUCACAAGGCAAUCAGAAUGGAAAGUUUUAUUGACUGUUUUAUGGUUUUCAGGUAUGACCAGAUGGAGGAUUGGUUAGGAAGACCGUUCAGGAGUGUUCCAAGGACUCCUGUGCUGCC